rnacentral:rRNA from 1 species
GAUGAACGCUGGCGGCGUGCCUAAUACAUGCAGGUCGAGCGAACAGAUAAGGAGCUUGCUCCUUUGACGUUAGCGGCGGACGGGUGAGUAACACGUGGAUAACCUACCUAUAAGACUGUGAUAACUUCGGGAAACCGGAGCUAAUACCGGAUAACAUAUUGAACCGCAUGGUUCAAUAGUGAAAGGCGGCUUUGCUGUCACUUAUAGAUGGAUCCGGGCCGUAUUAGCUAGUUGGUAAGGUAACGGCUUACCAAGGCAACGAUACGUAGCCGACCUGAGAGGGUGAUCGGCCACACUGGAACUGAGACACGGUCCAGACUCCUACGGGAGGCAGCAGUAGGGAAUCUUCCGCAAUGGGCGAAAGCCUGACGGAGCAACGCCGCGUGAGUGAUGAAGGUCUUCGGAUCGUAAAACUCUGUUAUCAGGGAAGAACAAAUGUGUAAGUAACUGUGCACAUCUUGACGGUACCUGAUCAGAAAGCCACGGCUAACUUCGUGCCAGCGGCCGCCGUAA